GUUUGAUCCUGGCUCAGGAUGAACGCUGGCGGCGUGCUUAACACAUGCAAGUCGAACGAUGAACCUCACUUGUGGGGGGAUUAGUGGCGAACGGGUGAGUAACACGUGAGUAACCUGCCCUUAACUCUGGGAUAAGCCUGGGAAACUGGGUCUAAAUCCGGAUAUGACUCCUCAUCGCAUGGUGGGGGGUGGAAGGCAUACUGUGGUUUUGGAUGGACUCGCGGCCUAUCAGCUUGUUGGUGAAUUAAUGGCUCACCAAGGCGACGACGGGUAGCCGGCCUGAGAGGGUGACCGGCCACACUGGGACUGAGACACGGCCCAGCCUCCUACGGGAGGCAGCAGUGGGGAAUAUUGCACAAUGGGCGAAAGCCUGAUGCAGCGACGCCGCGUGAGGGAUGACGGCCUUCGGGUUGUAAACCUCUUUCAGUAGGGAAGAAGCGAAAGUGACGGUACCUGCAGAAGAAGCGCCGGCUAACUACGUGCCAGCAGCCGCGGUAAUACGUAGGGCGCAAGCGUUAUCCGGAAUUAUUGGGCGUAAAGAGCUCGUAGGCGGUUUGUCGCGUCUGCCGUGAAAGUCCGGGGCUCAACUCCGGAUCUGCGGUGGGUACGGGCAGACUAGAGUGAUGUAGGGGAGACUGGAAUUCCUGGUGUAGCGGUGAAAUGCGCAGAUAUCAGGAGCAACACCGAUGGCGAAGGCAGGUCUCUGGGCAUUAACUGACGCUGAGGAGCGAAAGCAUGGGGAGCGAACAGGAUUAGAUACCCUGGUAGUCCAUGCCGUAAACGUUGGGCACUAGGUGUGGGCAACAUUCCACGUUUUCCGCGCCGUAGCUAACGCAUUAAGUGCCCCGCCUGGGGAGUACGGCCGCAAGGCUAAAACUCAAAGGAAUUGACGGGGGCCCGCACAAGCGGCGGAGCAUGCGGAUUAAUUCGAUGCAACGCGAAGAACCUUACCAAGGCUUGACAUGGGCCGGACCGGGC
rnacentral:rRNA from 1 species